UUAACAAACUUUAGGCCUGGGAUCGGUUUGGCUCGGCUCGGGAUUGAGGCUAUGCCGAGACCGAUACCGACUUUAUAGUCGGCUCAGAUCGGUUCGGGAUGCCGGAAUUUUAUCGAGGAUACCGAUUAGUUCCGAAACCGAUUGAUUCGGGUGGAUUGGAAGAAGGUGAAGGAGAGGCAGAAGGAAGAAGGUGGAGCAAGGAAGAAGGUGGGUCUGUUGUAGGUGCAGAGGUGGGUUGGGACAAAGAGAUGUGGGUUGGAGCAAGGAAGAAGGUGGGUCUGCUGUAGGUGCAGACGUGGAUUGGGACAAAGAUGUGGGAAUUAAUAAUUAUUAGUUGAAGAAUAAGAAGAAGAUGAAGAAGAAGGAGCAGCAGAAGAAGAAGAAUCAACCCAUGGGCCUCAAUAAUUGGUCUCAGACCAAUCAUGGCAGCUCCACCAUGUCCACGCGCACGACACCACCACCCCUGCCGUCUCCGUCAAACCGUACUCAUGGCUCACCACGAAUCCCAGCGACUCAAUCCGAGACAGAACCGCCACGGGCAGCGGAGCUCCGGAGGUCAUGAUCUGCUUUCGGCUUGGCUUGGACAAUUCGGUAUGUAUUACACCCAUACCGGUGCCGACCCGUUUACAUAGUUUUCGGUACGGUUCGGAUCGGGAUGCCGGAGAACUGCCUUUCAAUACCGAGUCGAUCGGUUUCGGCGCGGGUCGGACGGGAUCGGUAUCGGUUUCUCGGCUUUGAAUUCCCAGGCCUAACAAACUUCACUGACCUCUUUCAAUAUGGAAAGGCAACCAAAAAAAAACAGAGAGAGAAAGAGAGAGAAGAAGAUUGUAGAAACCACUUGCAUUAAGAUAUUAAUUUGAGUUCCAGAUCAAUUUUCAUUCCUAAAAUAAGAUUUUUUUCUAUUUUAUUUUUUUA